rnacentral:rRNA from 1 species
GACGAACGCUGGCGGCGUGCCUAAUACAUGCAAGUAGAACGCUGAAGAGAGGAGCUUGCUCUUCUUGGAUGAGUUGCGAACGGGUGAGUAACGCGUAGGUAACCUGCCUUGUAGCGGGGGAUAACUAUUGGAAACGAUAGCUAAUACCGCAUAACAAUGGAUGACACAUGUCAUUUAUUUGAAAGGGGCAAUUGCUCCACUACAAGAUGGACCUGCGUUGUAUUAGCUAGUAGGUGAGGUAAUGGCUCACCUAGGCGACGAUACAUAGCCGACCUGAGAGGGGGAUCGGUCACCCCGCGCCUGAGACACGGCCCAGACUCCUCCGGGAGGCAGCAGUAGGGAAUCUUCGGCCAUGGGGGCCACCCUGACCGAGCCACGCCGCGUGAGUGAAGAAGGUUUUCGGCUCGUAAAGCUCUGUUGUAAGUCAAGAACGGGUGUGAGAGUGGAAAGUUCACACUGUGACGGUAGCUUAACAGAAAGGGCCGGCUAACUACGUG